ACCGUCGAUGGCCUGGCUGGGCGCCGGCUUCCUGCUGGCCGCGCUGAUGGCCACGCAUAUCGGCUACGGUUUCAACCGCGCGGAGAUG
rnacentral:tRNA from 1 species